GGAGAGGUGGGUGAGUGGUUGAAACUACCUGACUCGAAAUCAGGCAUACCCGCAAGGGUAUCGAGGGUUCGAAUCCCUCCCUCUCCG
rnacentral:tRNA from 1 species